AUAUUCCUACUGCCUUCAUUCCCAUAUGGGUUCCUUCUAUGCUUCCUACCAUAUUCUCUACAAACUGAGCAGAAUAUCCUCGCAGUUCCAUCCUUCACAUCCACAUAUGCCCACUUGUAAGUAUCAGCCCAUUCCUCUCUCCAUCGUUUGACCACCUUUUUCUUUCUUUUUACUGGUUGUGCCUUUGACAUAUCUUGAUCUUCAGAAGGAAGUUGAGAAACCAUCAUAUUCUUGGCCUCAUCAUGCUCCUCAGCAGAAGGUUCACGCGGUGGGCCACUGAUGAGAGGGGUGUUAGCAAAUGAAGGGUCAUCAUCCCCAUGACCAAUCUCCAGAUCAAUCUCCUCCCCGAGUUCCCUUACCACCAAGUGAUGCCUCUGUGCCUGCUGAAUCAAGUUUAUAUCAUCCAUGGCAGAAUUCAUCCCCACUCCACCAGACGGCAGCAACAUUCAGCAUGACAGUCUUACCACACCAUAAAUCCUCC
rnacentral:misc_RNA from 1 species